rnacentral:lncRNA from 1 species
GGAUCUACUUACCAACGCAGAAAAUGAUACACACGGAUUCGAUUUAGGCACGCUACAUUCAAAUGACUUGGAAGAGCAGGUUCUCUGAGCCAGGAUACUAAAGUCCCUGUUUAGGAAAGAGCCACGUUGUAUGUUUACCCUACCACAAAGAUACAGUCAUGUGCCUGGGAAAGAUUGAUGCCAGCUCCAGAAAGGCAUCCGAAUGGUCUAAGUAAUGCCAUCCAUCUGUCAGUAAUAGAUUCAGAAAUGGAAUUCUGGAGGAAAGUGGCUCUGGGAAUUGAACAGUGGCUCAGUGAUGUUGGGGCCACCAAGUCUGCAAUUCUCCCUACCUGUUCUUCAUGGUUGUAAGAUGACUGCUGCAAUUCUCGGCAUCAUGUGCAUGUUAAUGUCAGGAGGAAGAAAGGAAGAGGGAGCACUGGGAUGUUACAUUCAUUUUGUCAGGAAAAGCAAAGCCUUUCCAGACAGCUCCGAAACUUGCUUACCUCUCAUUGGCCAGCACCAUCACUUGACCACUUGUCCACUCCUAGCUGCAAGGAAAGUGGCAAAGUAGAAGGUAUUUGAGAAUGUCUGCUGGGUUAGCCAAAACAAUAGUGACUUCUACACCCAAUUUUCUGGGCACUGCAGAAGUAUCCUUGAGUCCUAUGUGAUCAGAGGGAGAGCAAACCUCAAUAAUGAAACAGAUUCAAUUUCCAUCACCCAGUGAGACACCAUGGGAUUAGAAUAAAUUUUUAAAAAAACAAAUUGAAAAAAAUGCAUUUUUAAAACAACAAAAUCAGAAAGGAUGAAAGGUGAUAUUUCUAGCAUAUCAGUUUGUGGUGGUAAAUUAAUUACCUUAUACAAAGGCCUCAGUGACUUUCUUCUCCUUACCUAACGAAUCAUCUUUAAAAUAAGUAAAAUAAAGAAACAAGAGCAGCAGCAGAUGCUUCCUAAAAAGAAGUUACCAAAUCUGUUCACCACAAACCUGAGAAUUCAACUGUGGACAUUUGGACACCAGCAAUGAACAUGAAACUCAGCUUAUGAGGCAUAUUUGGCUAAAGGUCAAGGUGACUUAAAGUUCAUCAUAGGACAUCUACAAUUUGCAAAGCAGGUGACUGGAUAUGGACUCCUUCCAAGUCUCAUUUAAUUGGAUAAUGCCUACGUUUUAAGUAUCAGAAGUGAGUCUUUCUCUAUUAAAUGAAGUCAGUUCCACUAAAACCUAAAUCUUGUUUGGCAGGCACUCCAUGUUUCUUAAUUUUUAUUCCAUGCUGUAUAUUCUUUUAGACUUGAUUUUCACUUUUUUUUCUUUUUUCCUGUACAUUUAUCUUUGCUGUGAAACAAAGUGCCCUGCUUUGAAGGACAGGUUUGUGGGCUGCUGGUGGUGAGACAACAGCAGUCCUUCCAAGUCUUCCUCCCAUCACUCUGUUAGCUCUCCCUUUGUUUUUAAUUAGCAUUACACCAGUUAAUUCUGUUAUCUCUUAACCCUGGUUCUGCAUCCUCUUCUUCUUUUCUAUUCCUUACUCCGCUCCUGUUUUUUCUUGUUCUGCUUUUCCAAGAAAUGUCUUGUCUCCUCAUCAGUUGACUGUCUUCUCUUUCCAGAGGGACCAUAAAGGUGCCAGCCUAAGGAACACGUAAAACGUGGGAACAGACAAACAAGCUGCUGCCUAUUACAGAGAUAGAUAAUUAACUUUGGACCAUUACAUGCAAUUCAUCAGCUUAUCUUUUUCAAACUUUAUAUAAGAAGUCAUUUCCCAAUGGUAACCACUUGCCAGCUGCAACUUUGACGCAUAUUAUCAGGAUAGGUGAGAUUGAUGGGGGCCCUUUGAACUCUUCCCAGGGAAUUAUCUUUAUAAUGUUACAGUUUUCUCUAUAGCAUGGUCAUAUUGUUAACAUUGGUUAUAAGGUCAUAUGGUUAGUAUGGUUAGUAUUGGUGGCUCACAGCUGUAAUACCAGCACUUUGGGAGGCCAAGGUGGGAGGAUCACUUGAGCCCUGGUGUUCAAAACCAGCUCUGGAAACAUAGCAAGACCUUGUCUCUACAAAAAAAAAUUAAAUAAAUUAAAAGAUUAGCUGGGCAUGGUGGCACAUGCCUGUAGUCCUCACUACUUGGGAAACUAAGGUGGGAGGAUCCUUUGAGCUUGGGAGGUUGAGGCUGCAGUGAGCUGUGGUUGUGCCAUGGCACUCCAGCCUGGGUGACAGAGUGAGAGCCUGUCUCAAAAAAAAAAAAAAAAAAAAAAAAAAGUACCUGUAAGGUCUUUGGGAUUUUGAAGAUGAAAGGUGUUGCAUAAAUUGAAUGAAUUCACUUAGAGAGAUAGAAGGCAACUACAGGGAAUAUUACGUACAUCAUGGAGCGGAAAGCACUAAGGCCUGUGGAAUUAUUCUCAGUGACACGUCGUUGAGGGCAGUGGUCCACAUGUUUUGAACAUGGUUUCUCCCAGGUGAAAAGGAUGAGUAAUUUGUUCUCCUUCACAUGUGUGUAUGUAGGUCUUAUACACAGCAGAUUUGCCACAAAACAAAUGAAGAUUACACUUUGGGCCCCUCUCUCACAUGAGCCCCUUCCAAAGUUCUGUUUGCUAAUUUUACAUUUUGUAAUUUCUUAUUAUUUUUCUUAAAGAAGCCUCCUCCAAUUGCAUAAACUUCAAGCCUCACAAAAUUUGGAUCCAUACCUGAGCCAACAUACAAUACAAUUUUCCAUUUCUAACUUUUAGUUGUACCUAGUGUUUUAUUGGAAAUGAUCAAGUACAUGAGUGGUGUCUUUUUAAAAAAUUUACUUUAUUUGCUUCUCUAGCUUCAUCGUUAGUUAGGCAGUUAAAUCUAACCAUUUGGAGGUAUUUUCAUAUAACCUCCAUUGAGGACAAUUUGGCAAUAGCUUUUAAAAUUAUAAAUAUAUUUGUACAGUUAUAAGCUGCCAUAUCUAUAAAACUAUUUGAUAGACAAAAGUUGAAAACCCUCCAAGAGCUCAUCAAUAAAAGAUUAAAUUAAUUAUGAUACAUCCAUAUGAGCACUGAGCAGCUGUGAAAAAAAUGAGGAAGUAAUUCCUGUGCUGAUAUGGGAAGACUUCCAAGACAUGUUGUUAAGUACAGAAUGGUGUAUACAGUAUGCUAUAUAGUGUGGUAAAAGGUUUAGGGAUAAGCAUUUAUAUUUAUAACUGUUUAUAUUUACAUAAAGUAAUUCUGAAAGGAUACAAAAAAGCUAACAAAAGAGAUUACCUGUGGUAGUGUGGGGCUUGGGGAUUGGAUGGGUGAGAAACAGUAGUGGAAAUGAGAUAUUGUACAGUUUAAGGCAUUAUACACCUAUAAAAACAUGGGAAUGUAUUACCUACUCAAAAAGUGAAAUUAAGAGAGAUACAAGAAACUGUUUGGAUGUUCCUUCCCGUUUCAAUGUAUCUAUAUUUUUUCAGCCCUCAAAGUUAUUAUAAAUGUCAUUAUAAUAACUUCAUAAAGCUUCCCCUAUAAUGAGAAUCUUACCAUUCUCCUAACUCCAAUAGCACUGUAAUCCACCUCUGUUAGGACACAUCACUCUUCAUCAUGUGUGAUUAUUAUUUGCAGAUAUCAUCUUCAAGGCUCUUCUCUAUUUACCACCUGCCAUUCUUGUUCUCACCUCUACAUGACCUUCACAUUUUAUUUCUCUCGGUUUUUUGGACAAGCUACAUUCCCUUCCACAGAGAAGGCUUCCCUGACCCCUUUCACUUGGUUGGAUUACCUUGCUAUUCUUUUCUAUCUUUGUACAUUCCUUUUCAAAAUACUUAUCUCCCUUGUUGUUACCUAUAAUGUCUGUCUUCUUUACUCAAGAGUCUAGACAAAAAGCUCCACGCCAGCCUCGGCUGUGUUUGUAUUGUUUACGUCUGUGUUCCUAGUGCUUAAUAAAAUACCUAGCAAGGGUUAAUAAGUACUUGUUGACUGGAAGGGAAUGACUUCCUUCCCUUACUAGAGAGUGAUUUCCUUACAGGCGAGAUGUGUCAACCUUCUAUAGCCCACAUAAAAUAAAGGACAAUAUCUCCUAUUGGAUAAAAGACAAGAAUUUACAUAUGAGUUUUGUCAUUUACCAUACCAGCUCUGGGAUCUUAACUUUUUAGCCUCUCUGGGCUUCAGAGCUCUCAUCUACAUUAAGUUUUUCAUUCAUUCUGUCAUUCAAUAAAUAUUUAUGGAAUGCUUAGCAUGUGCCACUAGUCUAGCAACUGUGGAUACUGAAGUACGCAAGGCAGAAUAGUACUUGCUAUCUGAAGCACACGGUUUAAUUGGGGUGGGGAAAGAGUUGGUGGGGAGGGUCUCAUUAAACAUAUAAGCCAAAUAAACCAAAAUUACAGGUAGAGUUAAGGCCAUGGCAGAGCAACUGAAGGUGAUGAAUUCAGAGAGGCCAGGAAGGGACCCUCUGAAGCGAUCAUAUCUGAACUGAGUUUUUGAGUCAACUAAAUGAGAUAGUGUCUGUGAAUGUCUUAGAAUCAUGUCUGGCAUGUAAUAAGUGUCAUAAAUGAUAAGUAUUACUAUUUAUAAAAACUUGUCAAAAAAUGAACCAAAAAUACAAGCAGCUUGUCUUUCACAUAUAAAAUACUAUAGUUGCAACAUGUAUAUGUCUUUGUAUAGUGAGAAAGCAUAUUGUAUGUAUAUUAUAUUUCAUUUGAGUAAGUUAUUUUUUAACUGAAGGAAUCUCCUAUUUUGGUUCUGAAAUAGUUAACGUUCCUUUUAAGUAGUCUCAUUUAUACCUUGAGAGUGAUUUAAUUACCCACAGCAUCUGUUUAACAUUGUACUCACAGAGAAAUCACAGAAACGUAUGCAACAUUGGUUGUUCCUAAGUAGAUUCAAUGUUCUCUAAGGUCUCAUUAACCUGUAAGUUCUCACAUGUUUGUUACAUCUGAGCUAAUGAAGAAAUAGCCAGGGGUAAGGAACUGAGAAAGAGACUAUGGCUGUCUCAACACAAACCCAUUCCAGGACUGUAAAAAAUAUCUGACAAGUCAUAUCUUCCCAGUGUGGUAGUAAAAUCACUGGAGUGUAUUGGAUGGUAUAAGCAACUGAAGAGGAUUAAGAAUGGCCUCUGUGGCUGGGCACAGAGGUUCACGCUUGUAAUCUCAGAACAUUGGGAGGCUUAGGUGGGAGAAUCACUUGAACUCAGGAGUCUGAGACCAGCUUGGGCAACAUAGGAAGACCCCCACCUCUACAAAAAAAAAUUAAAAAUUAGCUGGGUCUCGUGGUGCACGUCUGUGGUCCCAGCUACUCAAGAGGCUGAGGUGGGAGGAUUGCUUGGGCCCAGGAGGUUGAGGCUGCAGUGAGCCAAGAUCACACCACUGCACUCAAGCCUAGGUGAUGGAGCAAUAACCACUCUAGAAAAAAAAAAAGAAAAAAGAAAGGAAAAAAAAAAAGAAUGGUCUCUUUGCCAGGCAUUUCUCCUUUAGUCCCUAAAAAACAUAGGCAGUAGGUAGCUGCCUCAAGUUGGAUUCUUCAGAAGCUGACCCUUAGACGCAGGAGAGAGAAGUGUAAGAUGGGGAUAAAAGUCUCUUUUCCAGGUAAAGUCUCUGCCUGGGCUGGGGUAUUCUAGGGUAAUGUGUAAAUUACACAUUGAAGUUUGUCCUUAUUUGAGGUUAGAGAAUUAGGCUUUCAAACUCCUGCACCAGUCACUCACUGGCUAUGACCCCAAGCAGCUCCAGUAGCCCAAGGGCAGUUCCCCAAAGACAGCCACAGAUAUGGGCUGGGCAAGCAAAUGACAGAGGGGCUUUCUGCACAGAAAUGAUGAAGGAGGCCCACAGAAUCAGGGCAGAGCCCUACCCGUGCUCUACGGCAUUCAUAUCCCCAAUUUACAUGGGAGAAAAUCCGACACUCAGAGAGGUCAAGUACUUCAUUAAAGGUAACUGUUUAAGGGGCAGAGCUUGGCUACAAACCCAGACAGAUUUGACUCCACAGUUCAUGCUCACUCUUCUCUACCAAAUGUGCCUCCCUUUCCUGACCAUCAGUUAUAUAUUCAGGAACAUAUUCUGUAUUUAUAUAAAUAGACAUUAUUAACCUAGCUUCCUGAGGCAGAAGAUUCUAUCAGGAAUUGUAGUGAAAUAUUAUAUUUGGGGAUCUCUAGAAGAGCACUACCUAAAAUCAAUGCAAUGAAAGCUACCUGUGUAAUUUAAAAUUUACUAGUGCU